rnacentral:rRNA from 1 species
CUGUGCAAAGGUAGCAUAAUCAUUAGUUUUUUAAUUGAAAGCUUGUAUGAAUGGUUGGACAAGAAAAAUUCUGUCUCUUUUUAAAUUUUAGAAUUUAAUUUUUUAGUUAAAAAGCUUAAAUUUUUUUAAAAGACGAGAAGACCCUAUAAAGCUUAAUAAUUUAUUAAUUUUAAUAUUUUAUGUUUUCUAAUAUUUUUAAUUUAAUAAUUUAUUUGAUUGGGGAAAUUUAAAGAUUAAUAAAAUUCUUUAUUAAUUAAACANAUAUAUUUGAUUAUUUGAUCCNUUAAUAUUGAUUAUAAGAUUAARUUACUUUAGGGANAACANCGUAAUUCUUUUGG